UUCAUUUUGUAAUUUUUUAUGUUGUGAUUCUUUUUAUUUUGUGUAAGGUUUUCAGCUAUUUAAAAUGGAACAGAGGGUCCGGCAGCUUAAUUAUUAAUGACGAAGUGCUAGGGAAUCAAGCGGUCGGCUGAUCGACAACACGACUGGUCUUUCUUAUAUGGCAUCCAUAACUACGGAUGACCAGGUUAGCGUAAAAACCAUAAAUGGUAAGCAUGAAAUAUUAUUCAAGUUUCCUGCUAUUUUAAGGCCUCCAGGCCCUGUGCGUGAGAUCAAACAUACCACGGUGCACCUCAUCCGAACGACGGAUGGUCCGCCGGUAUCGUGUCGUCCACGCCGCCUAGGCCCUCACAAAUUAGCCAUCAAGGAUCUUCAGGAGUUUCCCUUGCCGAAGACGGUACAAGGUCUUCGAAGAUUCCUCGGGGGGUGAUGUAGAGGCAUGCAGCCUCUUUUAAGACCGGCAGCUGCG